GAUGAACGCUGGCGGCGUGCUUAACACAUGCAAGUCGAACGGAAAGGCCCCUGCUUGCAGGGGUACUCGAGUGGCGAACGGGUGAGUAACACGUGGGUGAUCUACCCCGCACUUCGGGAUAAGCCUGGGAAACUGGGUCUAAUACCGGAUAGUCACGCCCCUUUGAUGUGGGGUGUGGAAAGAUUUAUCGGUGUGGGAUGAGCUUGCGGCCUAUCAGCUUGUUGGUGGGGUAAUGGCCUACCAAGGCGUCGACGGGUAGCCGGCCUGAGAGGGUGUACGGCCACAUUGGGACUGAGAUACGGCCCAGACUCCUACGGGAGGCAGCAGUGGGGAAUAUUGCACAAUGGGCGCAAGCCUGAUGCAGCGACGCCGCGUGGGGGAUGACGGCCUUCGGGUUGUAAACUCCUUUCGCCCACGACGAAGCCCUUCGGGGUGACGGUA
rnacentral:rRNA from 1 species